rnacentral:lncRNA from 1 species
CUACUAUCAAGAAUCUGCCAAUCGCUUCUCAGUCAUUAAAUACAGAAAACUGAGAAAAGCAAAGUUUAUGACUUACUUUAUUUCUCUGAUGUGUGUUUUCUUCUAAGCAUCUGACUUACUUUAUGUCUCUGAUGUGUGUUUUCUUCUAAACAUCUUUUCUUUUUGCUUGAUAUUUGAAGCGAAACCUCGUUGCAGGUUAUAAAGGUGUCACGGAACCGAAGAAGAGCUUACCAGGAGCGUGCGCAACCGUGAAUUAUUUAUUAUUUUGUUCACAUUUUCUUCUUUGUUUUCUUUACUUUAUUUUUAGUCCACUUUGUUUUGUAAUGUAUGUUAAACGUUAUUUGAGUUUCAAAAUGGGGUUUUAGAUUUUGAAGUUAUAUAUUUUACCCUGAUGUUAUGUCCCUGUAGGAACUCAAGGAAAAAGGCGGUAUUAAGGAACCCAGAUGAUCAACUCAAUAACCGUUAAUGGAAUCCAUAAGCCAAAGUGAGAGAAUGAACUGUCCGGUGAAAUUGUUAUUGCUAUUAUUUCUUUCUUAAAUUUCAUUGGCUUCUUGUUUGAUACAAUUGAAAGGAGCCAAGAUGAUAAGCUCGCAAUGCUAGACACUGGAUAUAUCACGAAUGUGAGUGGACUAUCGAUACAAUUGGUAAGUCGGAGGGGCACCCCGUUGGAAUUAGUGAUAAUUUGAGGUGGUAAAAUCUAAUCUAUCAAGAGAACUCAAGCACAUCCCAUCGCAUUCAUUAUACUGAAAAUCUAUUUGUUUGAUGCAGAAAAUUGAAAUGCUAACUGCAACGCUGCGUUCUCUUGGCUAUCAGUAUCAGUCAUCAGGCGUACGCGUUUAUCGCGCUGAAGACAGGUAGAGAAUUACCCCUUUCCUCUGAUUCUUGAUCUUUUGGCAAAGUCACAGCAAUUUUGUUUACUACUACUAUAGUUGUUUUGCAUUAUCAUUUUGUGUUCUUUAUUUUUCUGUAUUAUUACCAAAUGACGUAAUUACUUUCGAGGUGUAUCUCUUGUUUGGACUUUCGUCAACUUUUUUCACCAUGAUAAUUGUUUUAGAGGGGAAAUCUGGAUAUUCGAUGAAAGACAAUUUAUUUGAAUGUCCAGACAUUAACUGGCUAUCAGUUCAAAGGUUACUCUUUACCUUUCGAAUCAAAAAAAGAUUUCUACCCUUUGCUAAAACUGCAUGAUAUUUCUUUCCCCCUGUCAUUUAGUUUUUACCAAAAUCUCUUUCAUAUAAUAUCUCCUUAGAAGUUCUGUGUCGUAAAAUUUUACCCUCCUUUACUCUGAAAAUUGGGUUCUAUUUGAUACUCUGAAAAUUACAAUAAAAGUUUAGAAGAAAUUGGACGAAAUUG